rnacentral:rRNA from 1 species
UACGGGGGGAGCAAGCGUUGUUCGGAUUUACUGGGCGUAAAGGGCUCGUAGGCGGUCAAUUAAGUCUGAUGUGAAAGCCCCCGGCUCAACCGGGGAGGGUCAUUGGAAACUGAUUGACUUGAGUACUGGAGAGAAGAGUGGAAUUCCACGUGUAGCGGUGAAAUGCGUAGAGAUGUGGAGGAACACCAGUGGCGAAGGCGACUCUUUGGCCAGAAACUGACGCUGAGGCGCGAAAGCGUGGGGAGCAAACAGG